rnacentral:rRNA from 1 species
UACGUAGGGUGCGAGCGUUGUCCGGAAUUAUUGGGCGUAAAGAGCUUGUAGGCGGUCUGUCGCGUCUGCUGUGAAAUCUCAAGGCUCAACCUUGAGCUUGCAGUGGGUACGGGCAGACUAGAGUGUGGUAGGGGAGACUGGAAUUCCUGGUGUAGCGGUGAAAUGCGCAGAUAUCAGGAGGAACACCGAUGGCGAAGGCAGGUCUCUGGGCCACUACUGACGCUGAGAAGCGAAAGCAUGGGGAGCGAACAGG